UCGGGGUCUUACGGAGCCUGGAAAAGGAGUGUGCUCUGACGCCUGCAGCAACGCCACCAACCUUCACAGCCUCGUGCCGAGUGAAGCCAGCCAGUCACAAUAGGACCAAUGCUGUGACCCCACAGAUGGAAGGCCCCCAGAGGAGUCAGAUUCAAGAGGAAGAUGGCAGAAUGGCAGUCAGCAGGGCCAGUGACAGAGGCCGAUGGGAACCCCAGCGAGACCUGCAGAACAUUACAGCAGAAUGAAGGAGAGCCAGAGGAAGAGGCAGAUGUGCUGGCCUGUAAACAGUCUGAUUUCCAAUGUAAACCAGAUUCAGGCCCACGACAUCAGGUCAGCAUCUCCCACUGUGGGAAUCCUAUGUGGCCCCAUCGUCUGGACAGUGUGGGUCAGGUCACUGUGGCUGUUUUGUGAUGCGUGUGUGGGCUCAUCCCUCAGUGCUCAGAAGCUGCAGACACUAUGGAACCGCUUUUCAGGCCCCGUGGCCGUCACCCCCGCUCUAGAGACUUGAUUGCAGGGACCAUGCCCGGCCGGCCUAACUGCACCCCUCACUCCAGGUGGGUGGGGGGACCCAGGCCUGCUGGCCCCUGUGGUGGUGCAGCCCAGAAGGUGUGAAUCAGUUUACACUGUUCAGUGCCUGAAUAAAAGUCACAGG
rnacentral:lncRNA from 1 species